CUACUGGAAACGGUAGCUAAUACCGCAUAAUGUCGCAAGACCAAAGUGGGGGACCUUCGGGCCUCAUGCCAUCAGAUGUGCCCAGAUGGGAUUAGCUAGUAGGUGGGGUAACGGCUCACCUAGGCGACGAUCCCUAGCUGGUCUGAGAGGAUGACCAGCCACACUGGAACUGAGACACGGUCCAGACUCCUACGGGAGGCAGCAGUGGGGAAUAUUGCACAAUGGGCGCAAGCCUGAUGCAGCCAUGCCGCGUGUGUGAAGAAGGCCUUCGGGUUGUAAAGCACUUUCAGCGGGGAGGAAGGCGAUAAGGUUAAUAACCUCAUAGAUUGACGUUACCCG
rnacentral:rRNA from 13 species